CUGAAAAUCUGUUGCUAAGAGAAAACUGCUGUUUACUCAACAAUAAACAAUCGCGGUACACUGCUUAGUGCAUGGAACCCAGUAGAGCUGCCUUGUGGUCAUUCCAGGAUAUUAAACCAAUUUGUCGCUGACAUUUUUUAUACAUGAA